GCCACUGUAGUGUGUUCACCCCUUUAGCCGUUGUGCUCUCUCUCUCUCUCUCUCUCUAUUUAUCUCGUGCAUACAGAGACGCCCUCUUCUUGUCUCGCACAUUUAUUGCGAGCUUUCUCUGUCGGGCUUCAGUUGGCUUCAGUCGUCUUCCAAGCUACACCAUUUAAUGUUCCUGUUACUACUACUGCUGCCACUACAUAUCCCUUCCCCUCGAAGAUGUCGAACUUUCCUGCCUCUCUCUGCGAUUCCUCUUUGAAUAUCUUCCACCUCGCCGUCUACAGCUCCGAUCCAUGGCCCUCCCCAUCAUCCUCAUCAUCUAGUCCCUGAUCCCUUCUUUCUACGUGCUUUGAUCUCUAUUGCUUUGCUUCUUUCUGUAGCUCUUGGAGAACUGUGAGAUAUAGAUAUGCCGGGGGUGUACCUGCACUUGUCGCCUCGGGGGAUGACCGGUGGAGGGGGGAGACGCGGGCCGGCACCACCCAAAGGAUGGAUGGCGAUACGGGUCGGAGGCGCGGGGGAGGAGCAGCAGCGGUUCGUGGUGCCGGUGGGGUACCUCAACCACCCGCUCUUCGUGGCCCUGCUCCGGGCGGCGGAGGAGGAGUACGGAUUCCACCACACCGGCGCCAUCACCAUCCCCUGCCACGUCGAGCAAUUCCGCCACGUCCAGGGCAUCAUCGACCGCGACACCUCCUCCACCACCGCCGGAGCCGGAGGCCACCGCCACCACCACCUUCACCUGUGCUUCAGGGCUUGAAAAGUUCAAACCCUACGUAGCUGAGGCUUUUGUAAAAGCUUCGGAAUCUGAAAACAUACUUGUAGUUCGUUCAAUCAAAGAGACUUCGUUGUACAGGAAAACAGCAUAAUACAUGCUAUCAAGGCAUCAAUGGCAUACAUUUCAGGCAUUCUCUACAAAGCCAGGAUCGAAAGAAUUGCAACAAUAACAAACGAAGAGAUGGGGUAGAUAAUGAACAAAGAAUUACAUCAGGGGAUCGCAGGAUUUAGUUAUGUCUCACGUUUGUGCUGCGGAUGGUUAC